GUCAGUAUGGCGGAAUAGGCAGACGCAACGGACUUAAAAUCCGUUGAUAGAAAUAUCGUAUCAGUUCAAGUCUGAUUACUGACACCA
rnacentral:tRNA from 2 species